UAUAGCAGCAUUGUCUGAAGGUUCUUCAUCUAUUACUUUCUGAUGUGUGGUAAGGUUUCUGCAAUUAAGUUUGUAAUUUUCUUGAAAACAAACCGACUGUUAGCUGGACUUGCUGUAGUUGUCUGUUAGUUGCCAAGUACCUAACUAAUAGUCCACACUGAAAUCACAUUGGUAAUUGAUACAAUGUGCCCUACUGCUGGAUAAAUUGUUUAAAAGUAAACAACAAUAGUCUAUAAAAUACAAUGUGCCCAGACAUUAGUGCCUAACCUGAUAUUAAAUUUAGGUUUCACGUCUUAGAUUUGAUGUAAAGAGGACUUUGUGUAUCUUCAUUUGCUAGAUCUGUUACUGCUUCUCUUCCUUUCUUCCAAAUCCAGCCUCUGCUAAUUGAACCAUUCAGUAUACCAGAUUUAAUGGAGGGGGAAACUACCAUGGUCGUUGGAGGUCAUAGAUCAAGGAGAAAAUGGCGAACAACAAAAGAAAUUCUCGAUCUGCAGAGACCAUAUCUUCCUAUUGGAUUUGCUGUCUUCCUGGAUCUGUUGUUUUUGUACAUUCCUAUUAUCAACGAGGAUAUGAAGUGCCUGGGAUUGGACACAUAUCGGCUAUCUUAUAGUACUUGGAGCAUUUUGGUAUUUUUUUUCCAUUCAACAAGAGACGCUGCUUGCUUGCAAUAUGCAAACCCAGUACUUUUGACAGUCACAACAAUAUCCUCAGAAAUAUCACACUUCUAUAUGGUGCCAAUGCUUCAAAAUAUGGAUCAACAAACAAGUGUUGGAAGCAAUUUCUGAGCAUCUUAUAUCGGCGGUGGAUAUAUGAUAAGAACAGCUAUAUUAUUCGAGAGGGGGAACCGCUUGAGAAAGUGAGUUUCAACAUACAAGUAACACAAGUACUAGUUCAUGAUUGCUUGGCUUGGGAAAGGUCAUUAACCGCUUGAGAAAUUGAGUUUCAACAUACAAGUAACACAAGUACUAGUUCAUGAUUGCUUGGCUUGGGAAAGGUCAUUUUUAUGGAGAAGAACUUCUUCACUGGACAGAUUAGUUUGCCUCCUUUAAGGAGUAAAACUAUCUCGUCCAGAGGCAAACUAUCUCGUCCAGAACUGUGUUGUUUUCAAGCAUUUAAGUACUGUACUCUUUCACUUUUGUUUUUUCUCGAGGGGUUUUGGCAUGCCCCUUUUUUCUCUUAGCAUUUAAAUUGCUCUCCAUUGUAAGGUUCCAAGGAUUAUUGGCCCUUGGAGCAAUUCCAUCAAGAAGUAUGAGAUCAUGAUAAGAUUGGUCUGUCUACGGUACAUUAAUGUAUUAAUAUAUUAAGACCAGAUCGAUAUAGAGAUAGAUUGGAUUAAUCCA